AGAACGAACGCUGGCGGCAGGCCUAACACAUGCAAGUCGAACGCUCGUAGCAAUACGGGAGUGGCAGACGGGUGAGUAACGCGUGGGAACAUACCCUCCGGUUCGGAAUAGCUCAGGGAAACUUGGAUUAAUACCGGAUACGGCCGAGAGGCGAAAGAUUUAUCGCCGGAGGAUUGGCCCGCGUUCGAUUAGCUAGUUGGUGAGGUAACGGCUCACCAAGGCGAUGAUCGAUAGCUGGUCUGAGAGGAUGAUCAGCCACAUUGGGACUGAGACACGGCCCAAACUCCUACGGGAGGCAGCAGUGGGAAUAUUGGACAAUGGGCGCAAGCCUGAUCCAGCCAUGCCGCGUGAGUGAUGACGGCCUUAGGGUUGUAAAGCUCUUUCGCUCGGGACGAUAAUGACGGUACCGAGAUAAGAAGCCCCGGCUAACUUCGUGCCAGCAGCCGC
rnacentral:rRNA from 1 species